rnacentral:rRNA from 1 species
AUUGAACGCUGGCGGCAGGCCUAACACAUGCAAGUCGAACGAGUGGCGGACGGGUGAGUAAUGUCUGGGAAACUGCCUGAUGGAGGGGGAUAACUACUGGACACUGUAGCUAAUACCGCACACCAUCAGAUGUGCCCCGAUGGGAUUAGAUAGUUGGUGGGGUAAAGGCUCACCAAGACGAAGAUCCCUAGCUGGUCUGAGAGGAUGACCAGCCAAACUGGAACUGAGACACGGUCCAGACUCCUACGUGAGGCAGCAGUGGGGAAUAUGGCACAAUGGGCGCAAGCCUGAUGCAGCCAUGCCGCGUGUAUGAAGAAGGCCUUCGGGUUGUAAAGUACUUUCAGCGGGGAGGCGUUACCCGCAGAAGAAGCACCGGCUAACUCCGUGCCAGCAGCCGCGGUAAUUC